CCCAAGGGUAUGGCUGUUCGCCAUUUAAAGUGGUACGCGAGCUGGGUUUAGAACGUCGUGAGACAGUUCGGUCCCUAUCUGCCGUGGGCGCUGGAGAACUGAGGGGGGCUGCUCCUAGUACGAGAGGACCGGAGUGGACGCAUCACUGGUGUUCGGGUUGUCAUGCCAAUGGCACUGCCCGGUAGCUAAAUGCGGAAGAGAUAAGUGCUGAAAGCAUCUAAGCACGAAACUUGCCCCGAGAUGAGUUCUCCCUGACUCCUUGAGAGUCCUGAAGGAACGUUGAAGACGACGACGUUGAUAGGCCGGGUGUGUAAGCGCAGCGAUGCGUUGAGCUAACCGGUACUAAUGAACCGUGAGGCUUAACCUU
rnacentral:rRNA from 1 species